AAUGAACGCUGGCGGCGUGCCUAACACAUGCAAGUCGCACGAGAAAGUCCCAGCUUGCUGGGGCUAGUAAAGUGGCGCACGGGUGAGUAACGCGUGGGUAAUCUACCUCCGAAUUGGGGAUAACAUUGCGAAAGCGGUGCUAAUACCGAAUGACAUCACCGAGGCUAAGGCCUUGGUGAUCAAAGGUGGCCUCUACAUGUAAGCUAUUGUUUGGAGAUGAGCCCGCGUACCAUUAGCUAGUUGGUAGGGUAAUGGCCUACCAAGGCUACGGUGGUUAGCUGGUCUGAGAGGAUGAUCAGCCACACUGGAACUGACACACGGUCCAGACUCCUACGGGAGGCAGCAGUGAGGAAUUUUGCGCAAUGGGGGAAACCCUGACGCAGCAACGCCGCGUGAGUGAUGAAGGCUUUCGGGUCGUAAAGCUCUGUCAAGUGGGAAGAACCUGCUUCGUGAUAAUACCACGAAGCACUGACGGUACCACUGAAGGAAGCACCGGCUAACUCCGUGCCAGCAGCCGCCGUAAGAC
rnacentral:rRNA from 1 species